rnacentral:rRNA from 1 species
AACGAACGCUGGCGGCGUGGUUGAUACAUGCAAGUCGAACGGGAAACGGGGCUUCGGCCCCGGAGUACAGUGGCGGACGGGUGAGUAACGUAUGAUCAAUCUGCCCUCAAGACUAGGAUAGCCAUCCGAAAGGAUGGGUAAUACUGGAUAAGCCCACAGGCAGGCAUCUGUCUGUGUGAAAAGGAUUGGGAUCUUCGGACCUUUCGCUUGAGGAUGAGAUCAUAACCUAUCAGUUAGUUGGCGGGGUAACGGCCCACCAAGACGACGACGGGUAGCCGGCCUGAGAGGGUGGACGGCCACACUGGAACUGAGACACGGUCCAGACUCCUACGGGAGGCAGCAGUGCUGAAUUAUUCGCCAAUGCGCGAAAGCGUGACGGUGCGACGCCGCGUGCGGGACGAAGGCCUUCGGGUUGUAAACCGCUGUCAGGGAUUAGAAAACCUAUAUGGUUAAUAGCCAUGUAGCUGAUCAGUCCCAAAGGAAGCACAGGCUAAUCUCGUGCCAGCCGCCGCAGUAAUAC